GUAUGUCAGUGCGAUCUGGCUGUGACAUCUGUCACCCAUUGAAUGCUAGGGUUGAUUUGGCCUAUGUGGCUGGCUAGCUGGUUGUCCCCUUUCCCUUUCACCACUCCGUGUUGGUUCCUCCUGAAGUGCACUCAGUCAAAGAGGGUAACGGACCACCCCUGAUUGAUAAGGACUGUUUUUCUCCAUCAAGGGUAUAGAAGUAGCUGCACUGCCCUGCUAGAAAAUCCAAACAAGCUUCAAAAAUACAGGGUUCAAGAAAAUCUGGGAAUUCGAGGUUCUGAAUUACAUGUUACCAAAGAUUGCCUUCCUAGGUAUCAAGAUUGCACUUCCUU
ensembl:misc_RNA 7SK 7SK RNA